rnacentral:rRNA from 1 species
CGCUAUCACUCCUACGGGGAGGCAGCAGUAGGAAUCUUCACAAUGGGCGCAAGCCUGAUGGAGCAACACCGCGUGAGUGAAGAAGGGUUUCGGCUCGUAAAGCUCUGUUGUUAAAGAAGAACACGUAUGAGAGUAACUGUUCAUACGUUGACGGUAUUUAACCAGAAAGUCACGGCUAACUACGUGCCAGCAGCCGCGGUAAUACGUAGGUGGCAAGCGUUAUCCGGAUUUAUUGGGCGUAAAGAGAGUGCAGGCGGUUUCUAAGUCUGAUGUGAAAGCCUUCGGCUUAACCGGAGAAGUGCAUCGGAAACUGGAUAACUUGAGUGCAGAAGAGGGUAGUGGAACUCCCAUGUGUAGCGGUGGAAUGCGUAGAUAUAUGGAAGAACACCAGUGGCGAAGGCGGCUACCUGGUCUGCAACCGACGCUGAGACUCGAAAGCAUGGGUAGCGAACAGGAUUAGAUACCCUGGUAG